CGAAAGUUAGAGGUUCGAAGGCGAUCAGAUACCGCCCUAGUUCUAACCAUAAACGAUGCCAACCAGCGAUCCGCCUGAGUUCCUCAAAUGACUCGGCGGGCAGCUUCCGGGAAACCAAAGUGUUUGGGUUCCGGGGGAAGUAUGGUUGCAAAGCUGAAACUUAAAGGAAUUGACGGAAGGGCACCACCAGGAGUGGAGCCUGCGGCUUAAUUUGACUCAACACGGGAAAACUUACCCGGCCCGGACACUGGAAGGAUUGACAGAUUAAGAGCUCUUUCUUGAUUCAGUGGGUGGUGGUGCAUGGCCGUUCUUAGUUGGUGGAGCGAUUUGUCUGGUUAAUUCCGAUAACGAACGAGACUCUAGCCUACUAAAUAGGCGUUCCGAUCCUCUAUGUCGGACGUUCUUCUUAGAGGGACAAGCGGCUUUUAGCCGCACGAGACAGAGCAAUAACAGGUCUGUGAUGCCCUUAGAUGUCCGGGGCCGCACGCGCGCUACACUGAAGGAAUCAGCGUGUGCUUUCCCUGUCUGGUAGGACUGGGUAACCCGUUAAACCUCCUUCGUGAUAGGGAUAGGGGCUUGUAAUUGUUCCCCUUGAACGAGGAAUUCCCAGUAAGCACGAGUCAUAAGCAUCGUGUUGAUUACGUCCCUGCCCUUUGUACACACCGCCCGUCGCUACUACCGAUUGAAUGAUUUAGUGAAAGGUCUUCGGACUGGCGCUCGUAGCGAAGCCUUUUGGCCGCGCCGACGUGCCGGAAAGAUGACCAAACUUGAUCAUUUAGAGGAAGUAAAAGUCGUAACAAGGUUUCC
rnacentral:rRNA from 1 species